rnacentral:rRNA from 1 species
GGGCUCACACAAGCGGUGGAGCAUGUGGCUUAAUUCGAAGCAACGCGAAGAACCUUACCCGGGUUUGACAUGCUUGGAUGGGCUCCGGGGAUAACUCAGAGUCUCUGCCCGCAAGGGUGAAACAAGCACAGGUGUUGCAUGGCUGUCGUCAGCUCGUGCUGUGAAGUGUCGGGUUAAGUCCCUUAACGAGCGAAACCCCUGCCGUUAGUUGCCAGCGGGUAAAGCCGGGAACUCUAGCGGGACUGCCGGCGUUAAGCCGGAGGAAGGUGGGGACGACGUCAAGUCAUCAUGGCCUUUAUGCCCGGGGAUGCACACGUGCUACAAUGGUCGGUACAAAGGGCUGCAAGACCGCGAGGUGGAGCAAAUCCCAAAAAACCGACCCCAGUUCAGAUUGGAGUCUGCAAUUCGACUCCAUGAAGUUGGAAUCGCUAGUAAUCGCGCAUCAGCUACGGCGCGGUGAAUGUGUUCCUGAGCCUU